CUCGACUCCGGAAGAGGUGUAUUUAUUAGAUUAAAAACCAACGCCCUUCGGGGCUCCUUGGUGAUUCAUAAUAACUUCACGAAUCGCAUGGCCUUGCGCCGGCGAUGGUUCAUUCAAAUUUCUGCCCUAUCAACUUUCGAUGGUAGUAUAGAGGACUACCAUGGUUUCAACGGGUAACGGGGAAUAAGGGUUCGAUUCCGGAGAGGGAGCCUGAGAAACGGCUACCACAUCCAAGGAAGGCAGCAGGCGCGCAAAUUACCCAAUCCCGACACGGGGAGGUAGUGACAAUAAAUACUGAUACAGGGCUCUUUUGGGUCUUGUAAUUGGAAUGAGUACAAUCUAAAUCCCUUAACGAGGAACAAUUGGAGGGCAAGUCUGGUGCCAGCAGCCGCGGUAAUUCCAGCUCCAAUAGCGUAUAUUAAAGUUGUUGCAGUUAAAAAGCUCGUAGUUGAACCUUGGGUCUGGCUGGCCGGUCCGCCUCACCGCGUGCACUGGUCCGGCCGGGCCUUUCCUCCCGGGGAACCGCAUGCCCUUCACUGGGCGUGCCGGGGAACCGGGACUUUUACUUUGAAAAAAUUAGAGUGUUCAAAGCAGGC
rnacentral:rRNA from 1 species